AACAAAAAACAGAUGAGAAAGUAGAUGAAUCGGGACCUCCCGCCCCUUCCAAACCCAGGAGAGGACGUCGACCCAAGUCUGAAUCUCAGGGCAAUGCUACCAAAAAUGAUGAUCUAAAUAAACCUAUUAACAAGGGAAGGAAGAGAGCUGCAGUGGGUCAGGAGAGCCCUGGGGGUUUGGAAGCAGGUAAUGCCAAAGCACCCAAACUGCAAGAUUUAGCCAAAAAGGCAGCACCAGCAGAAAGACAAAUUGACUUACAAAGGUAAAAAUGCAUUUGCAAAGGGAGAAAAUGAAGGCCAAACAGAAGCAGGCUCCAGCUUCUGCAAAAACUUGGAUUCACAAAUGUCCCUGAACAGAAAAUGAAGCUCACUUCAGAACACACACUCUCUGCCUUGAAAACUAAAGAGACUAUUACUUCCUUUUCACAUGACCACAAGUCCUCUGAUGGAAAUGUACAGCAGAAACUCUUGAGAGAGAGGCUAAAAGCAACUCUGUUCUCCCCCUUCCCCUAGACUUUUCUUACGAAAAGUCAAUAAUUAAGCAAAUUGCUUAACACUUGGUUCCAGUUCCUGCCUAUCUGGAGUUUAAAUGCGUAAUACACCAUUAAUUUCCACGCUGCAGUUUUUAUUUUAAAGAAAGUAACAAGAUGUCUUUACACUGACACUGAAAAUUCAUCCAUUUUAGAGCCAGGAAUUCCCAUGUUACACAGGAAAAAAUAGAAGUCUACUGAAUUAAUUUUUUAAAAGAAAAGAGAUCAGAUUAAAUAUUUCUUUGUUUUUCCUUUUGGAAACUUUUAUGUAUAAUUCUUUCUGCCUGCCUACUUUUCUGCAAAAAUGAGAUGUACAGAUUUCGGUUCCCUGCUAUGAAAAGUGAUGUGGUAGCAAUUUUAUAAAUGUUGCUUUCUGAUUUUUAUCAGAGUGAGAAAAUUAAAAUUAUUGAUUUGCAAGUAGUAAACAGUUCAUAUUUUGAUUUCCCCUCAUUUUAGUUUAAUAUAAUUUGCAAUAAAUGUACAUAUUGUUGUUUGUUUCAUAAAGCAUAUCACUUUAAAAUGGUUUUUACUCCUGUGAUUAUGUUGGAAUAUUUGGAAUUUUAAAGGAGUAAAGACUGUCCAGCAUUUGGUUUUAUAAUGUUUGUCACCAGAUUUUUAUUAAUGUAAAAAAAAUCAAUUUUUAAAAAAUAGUUGGACUUUGGCAGCUUUUAAGGAAAGUUGGAGGUGUUUUAGGAUUGCUAUCAAUUUUCAGCAUUGUGCUAUUUGGAAAUAAGUGUUUUGCUUUUGUCUGAUGGUCUGGGCUCAUUUUUAUGUUUAUUUUAGAAAACUGUUGCAUCAAUAUAUUAUGUUUCUUGGCAUUGUUCAGCAUAGGUAAUGUGUGCACUUUAUGUGUACACAUAAUCAUAUUUAAGUUUUUUGCAUAAAAUAAAUGCUUCUAGAUGUC
rnacentral:lncRNA from 1 species